rnacentral:rRNA from 1 species
UACGUAGGGUGCAAGCGUUGUCCGGAAUUAUUGGGCGUAAAGAGCUCGUAGGCGGUUUGUCGCGUCUGCUGUGAAAACCCGAGGCUCAACCUCGGGCCUGCAGUGGGUACGGGCAGACUAGAGUGCGGUAGGGGAGAUUGGAAUUCCUGGUGUAGCGGUGGAAUGCGCGGAUAUCAGGAGGAACACCGAUGGCGAAGGCAGAUCUCUGGGCCGUAACUGACGCUGAGGAGCGAAAGCAUGGGUAGCGAACAGG